rnacentral:lncRNA from 1 species
GGCUCUCUGAGCUCCCAGCAAAGCUGUCUCCUGCUUGGGACUCAGCGUGGGGGAGGAGCCGGCCGCUCUGCUGUGAGAGAAGGGAACGGGUUGCGAGGGAGACCUACGAGGUGGAGGAACAGCGUGGGGGAUGGCAGGGGGCAAAGUGACGUCCAGUUUGGGGUGGGAGGAGGGAGAGUGUGAGGCCCAGGAGCGGGACGCGGGGGAGGGGGCCGGGCGUGGGCACCGGAUCUUCUCAGGACUGGUGGGUGUGCCUCAGGGGCCUGAUGGCCUGAUGGACGGAGGGCAAGAACCCUUCCACCAUCCGCUCCGUCCCCAGCCUGGGGCACCACGGCGCGUCCUUCCCCCGGGUGCGCAGCGUGUCCUGCCUCCCCCUUAAAGGACAAGGAGAGAGCAGACCCAGGAGCCCCAGUGGCAGAAGGGGCCCGGCAGGGAGUGCUGGGCAGGGAGCGCCCAUGUGCCCACCCGAGUGCCAGUGCCAGCCAGCUGCUGCCCGGAGAGCCCCGGCCCUCUGUAGCUAUCUGGCCUCUGCUCAUGGCUGUUGCUCAGAGAGAAUCUGACCAGCACUGACUUCACCUCCGCCCACCCCCUGAGGCGGCAGCUGGACCUCAGCGUUGCUUCAGGAAGAAGUCCUCAGCCAAUAGUGUCCAUGCCAAGGACAAAUCUGAGAGGCCACUAAAAAUGCCAGAGACAUGCAGGAUAAAAUACAGCCUGUCCCAUUAAAUUAUUGAUGCCUUUAACAUUAAUUACCAUCCUCCAAACCUGCAGUGGCUCACAUCUUCCCUCCUUCCUCCGGCUUGGAGAACCUUCAGCUAGAGCUCAGGCUGGAAAUGUAUUUUACUGUUUUCCCUGUGCCUCUGUCAUGCAGGGGUCUUGGAGGUGCACUCCCACCCCAGCACAGGUGCCACAGGACUGCCUCUGGUGCCCUUGACCCACCCACACCAGCUCCACACCCACACCUCCCCCCAACCUUCCCCCAGCAGGCGCAGGACUGCCUCUGGGGCCCCUGACUCACCCACACCAGCCUCUGUGAUGUGGGGGUCUUGGGGGUGUGCUCCCACCCCAGCACAGGUGCCACAGGACUGCCUCUGGUGUCCUCGACCCACCCACACCAGCUCCACACCCACACCUGUCCCCGAACCUUCCCCCAGCAGGCACAGGACUGCCUCUGGGGCCCCCGACCCACCCACACCAGCCCCACACCCACUGUGCGCCACCACGCCUAGCUACUUUUUGUAUUUUUUAGUAGAGACGGGGUUUCACCAUGUUGGCCAGGCUGGUCUCCAACUCCCGGUCUCAAGUUAUCCUCCUACCUGGGCCUCCCAAAGUGCUGGGAUUACAGGCAUGAGCCACUGUACCCAGCCUUGGUGGUUUUCUUUAAAUCCUUGUCAGUGAACUAUCUGAGUGUGGUGGUUUUAAAAUGUCCCCCAUUUUUGUGGACAAUCCUCCCUCAAAAGCAGGUUUUCUUAAGUGUGAGCCAGACUUAGCAACUGGCUUCUCAUGAAUAAAAUGUGGUGGAAGGGGCCGGGUGCGGUGGCUCAUGCCUGUAAUCCCAGCACUUUGGGAGGCCAAGGUGGGAAGAUCACCGGAGGUCAGGAGUUGGAGACCAGCUUGGCCAACAUGGUGAAACCUUGUCUCUACUAAAAAUUCAAAAAUAUUAGUUGGACAUGGUGGCGCAUGCCUGUAAUCCCCGCUACUUGGGAGGCUGAGACAGGAGAAUCACUUGAACCUGGGAGGCGGAGGUUGCAGUGAGCCGAGAUCGCACCACUGCACUCCAGCCUGGGUGACAGAGCGAGACUCCAUCUCAAAAAAAAAAAAAGAAAAACAAAGAAGUGGUGGAAGGGACAGUGUGACUUCCAAGGUGAGGCGCUGCCCGCUUUGGGAGUCCACGUGGCGAGGAACAGAGGCCGCCUGCCUGCAGCCGCGGAAACCCUCCUAGAAGUGGAUCCUUCAGAUGAGCCAUGGCCAGCCCCUCGACAGCAACCUCCUGGGAAAAACGUCCAGCUAAGCCACACCCCAACUGGAAGUGGGUCCUUCAGAUGACCGGAGCCACGGCCAGCACCUCAACAGCAACCUCCUGUGAAAACCACCCAGCUAAGCUGCACCCCAAUUCCUGUUCCUCCAAUACUGUGGUCAGAGGGGCUCAAAGCAGAAUGAGUCCAUCUUGAGUAGGGAGUGGGUAAAAUGAGGCUCAGACCUGCUGUGCUGCACUCCCAGGGGUGAGGCAUUCGGAGUCACAGGAUGAGAUUGGAGGUCGGCAGGACUGGUAUCACAAGAUGCAGGUCAUAAAGACCCUGCUGGUAAACAGGAUGUGGUAGAGAUGCCGGCCAAAACGACCAAAACCAAGACGGUGAGAAGAGUGGCCUCUGCUCACCCGCCCUGCUC